rnacentral:misc_RNA from 1 species
GGGUUCUUUCCCGGUAUUCUUUUCUACACCAGCUCAGGUCUCUCUGCAAGGUCCCCAGGGGAAAGGUGGCAGACAUGAAAUUAACCGUACUUGACCUGAUCAUUCCUUAUUGAUUCAGAACAUUGAUGGAUUAGGACUAUAGAUGUUCUUUCCGAGUCAUAGAGAACAUAUCUUUCCACUUCUAUUCCUUUUUCCACCUUUCUUGAAAGGUACGCAUCUAAAAAAUGGAUCUUACAUCUUACACCAGAAAGAGAAAAGGAUUUCCCAGAUCUUUUUAAGCAUUGAGCAACUAUACAAAUUUGAGUACGUCAAAAGGGGAAAAUAAAUCUCCAGUUAAGAACUCUAAGAUAUAUGUGGAGAAAAACCAAAAAUUUGCAUUUCACCACCUCUACUUUGUCAGCCAAUUUACUUCGCCGUUUUUCUUUUUUCUUUCUUUCUUUGUUUUAUGCAGGGUUCCAACUGCAUACGAGCCUCCAUUUGCUACGUCAGCAAAGCUAAGAUUCACAAAUAUUGUUAUUGACCAUAUUCAAAGAGAAUUCUUCUGUCAUCAGCAUACUUUGAACAUGAUCAAGAAGUCCUGUAA